AUUGAACGCUGGCGGCAGGCCUAACACAUGCAAGUCGAACGAGUGGCCGACGGGUGAGUACUGUCUGGGAAACUGCCCGAUGGAGGGGGAUAACUCCUGGAAACGGUAGCUAAUACCCCCUACCAUCGGAUGUGCCCCCAUGGGAUUAUCUUGUAGGUGAGGUAACGGCUCACCUAGGCGACGAUCCCUCGCUGGUCUGAGAGGAUGACCAGCCACACUGGAGCUGAGACACGGUCCAGACUCCUACGGUAGGCAGCAGUGGGGAAUAUUGCACAAUGGGCGCAAGCCUGAUGCAGCCAUGCCGCGUGUAUGAAGAAGGCCUUCGGGUUGUAAAGUACUUUAAGCGGGGAGGCGUUACCCGAAGAAGAAGCACCGGCUAACUCCGUGCCAGCAGCCGCGGUAAGAG
rnacentral:rRNA from 1 species